UUUCGCCAAAAAGCAAACGCGGCAAAAAUAAAACAUUUCCUCAUUUACUUUUCACUUUGGCUCUAGGUUUUCUCCUUUCAAUUACACAGUUACAAUUAAAAUUUUUGUUUGGUAUCUCUCUUCAUGUUUCCACCUCAAAAUCUAGGUUACUUCUGAAGAUUUUAAUUAUCCAAAGUCCAUCGAAGAUAUGUACAAAGCAAUUACGCCUACUUUCUACUCCAAGGUUUGUGUUAGGGUUUCUCUUUUUGCUCGGAAUCAUUGUCUUUCUAUACAGUAAGUAAGUAAUUUUAAUUUGUGAUAGCCAUCUUGCUUUUGAGAAAAUGAGGAAUAGGGUAAAUAUGAAUCGAGCAUUUAUGCUAAUUUUAAGAAUUUCUGUAUUAUGCUCUUAUGUGAAUAGGACAAGUGCUUUGCUUUGCUAGUUUCCAAUUUUCAGAAUUUCCCUAUCGUAUUGAUAUGGGUAGUGGCUCCAAUAAAUUUGUUUUCUUGUUCAACAUUUCGGGGGUUAACUGCCACCUAGUUUUUCCAACUCUUGAAUCAAUCAGGUGCAGAUUCAACUGGAGUCAAGGAAGGUUGUGGACAAGCUAGAAUAAGGGUAUUGAAAAAUAAAGAACUCUUUGGGAGAAAAGAUGAUAUUAGAGAUUCUAGUUGGUAAAUGGAGGUCAAUCAAGGCAAUUCCAUCAACAGAGCUGUCAAAUGAGUGGGGAAUAAUAGCUCAAAAUUUUUGUUCGCUUCCAAACAAGUGGAAAGAACUCACAAGAAAGGAGAAAGAUGCAACACCGAUUAGAUUACAUUGUAUUUUUUUUUUUAGACAAUCAUAUUUUAUUGUAGGACAUUAGUUUGUCAUAAAUAUGACCAAAAAAAAUAGAAUUUGUCCUAGAAUUUCCUUAUCAAUAAUAUAUAAUAUUUUCUUUGACAAUGAA